rnacentral:rRNA from 1 species
UACGUAGGGGGCAAGCGUUGUCCGGAAUUAUUGGGCGUAAAGCGCGCGCAGGCGGUUAAUUAAGUUGGGUGUUUAAGCCCGGGGCUCAACCCCGGUUCGCAUCCAUAACUGGUUGACUUGAGUGUAGGAGAGGAAAGUGGAAUUCCACGUGUAGCGGUGAAAUGCGUAGAGAUGUGGAGGAACACCAGUGGCGAAGGCGACUUUCUGGCCUAUAACUGACGCUGAGGCGCGAAAGCGUGGGGAGCAAACAGG